rnacentral:rRNA from 1 species
AUUGAACGCUGGCGGCAUGCCUUACACAUGCAAGUCGAACGGCAGCACGGGUGCUUGCACCUGGUGGCGAGUGGCGAACGGGUGAGUUAUACAUCGGAACAUGUCCUGUAGAGGGGGGUAGCCCGGCGAAAGCCGGAUUAAUACAGCAUACGAACUACGGAUGAAAGCGGGUGACCUUCGGAACUCGCGCUAUAAUGUUGCCAGAUGGCUGAUUAGCUAGUUGGUGGGGUAAAGGCCUACCAAGGCGACGAUCAGGAGCUGGUCGGAGAGGACGACCAGCCAAACUGGAACUGAGACACGGCCCAGACUCCUACGGGAGGCAGCAGUGGGGAAUUUUGGACAAUGGGCGAAAGCCUGAUCCAGCAAGGCCGCGUGUGUGAAGAAGUUCUUCGGGUUGUAAAGCCCGUUUGUCCGGAAAGAAAUCCUUGGCCCUAAUACGGUCAGGGGAUGACGGUACCGGAAGAAUAAGCACCGGCUAACUACGUG